CGGAUGGCCAUGCGGCGCAUUAGCUGGUUGGCGGGGUAACGGCCCACCAAGGCGACGAUGCGUAGGGGUUCUGAGAGGAAGGUCCCCCACACUGGUACUGAGACACGGACCAGACUCCUACGGGAGGCAGCAGUGAGGAAUAUUGGUCAAUGGGCGCGAGCCUGAACCAGCCAAGUCGCGUGAGGGAAGACGGUCCUAUGGAUUGUAAACCUCUUUUGUCGGGGAGCAAAAGACGCCACGCGUGGCGUUCCGAGAGUACCCGAAGAAAAAGCAUCGGCUAACUCCGUGCCAGCAGCCGCGGUAAUACGGAGGAUGCGAGCGUUAUCCGGAUUUAUUGGGUUUAAAGGGUGCGCAGGCGGAAGAUCAAGUCAGCGGUAAAAUUGAGAGGCUCAACCUCUUCGAGCCGUUGAAACUGGUUUUCUUGAGUGAGCGAGAAGUAUGCGGAAUGCGUGGUGUAGCGGUGAAAUGCAUAGAUAUCACGCAGAACUCCGAUUGCGAAGGCAGCAUACCGGCGCUCAACUGACGCUCAUGCACGAAAGUGUGGGUAUCGAACAGGAUUAGAUACCCUGGUAGUCCACACAGUAAACGAUGAAUACUAAUUGUUCGGGGAGAAUGAUCCCUGA
rnacentral:rRNA from 1 species